rnacentral:tRNA from 1 species
UCCCUACUAUCUCAGUUGGUAAAGAAUCUGCCUGCAAUGCAGGAGACCUGGGUUCAAUCCCUGGUUUGGGAA